rfam:Escherichia coli str. K-12 substr. MG1655, complete genome.
GGUCGGAUAAGGCGUUUAUGCCGCAUCCGACAUCAACGCCUGAUGCGACGCUUAACGCGUCUUAUCAGGCC